AGCCGCCUGUAGAUCUCAGUGAAGCGCUGAGAAACAAAGCGAAGAAGAAGAAGGUCACGUGAUUCUCGCGGAAGCGUUGGCCUGACAACCGCUGUAAUCUCUUCUCUUCUGGUGCUAACGCAAGCACUCAAGAGGACAUAAUGCCAGAAGUCAAGUCAAUAUUCAGAGAAGUUCUGCCUAAAACAGGCCAACUUGCCAUGGAUGAUGUCCCUACCAUGGUUCUGUGUAAGCCAAAACUGCUCCCACUCAAAUCAGUCACCCUAGAGAAACUGGAGAAGAUGCAGAUGGAGGCUCAAGAGGCCGUCAAGCAGCAGGAACUGGCAAUGAAGGAGCAGUUGCAGUAGAUGACAAACGGAGGAUUUGUAACAGCAGGAAUGGUCAGGCAGAAAAUUCCUUCAGAUAGAAGGCACAAACCCAGUCUUCACACACUGGUAGAACUAGUAUUUACAUUACAUGGAAAGUUAGGUGCAAUGUUUGGGUUUAUAGAGCACUCAACUCUAUUGAAAGUCUUCACUCACUAGUCAUUGUCAAAUAAUCUACUGCAUGUCAUCAGUCAAGGAUUACAUCUAUUGCCAAAUUUUCCAAGACCUGCGUACUUCUUCAGACUCCCCAUUUGUAUUACUGCAUCUGUAAGUUGGCAUUAAUGCAUACAAGAAAAUGUCAGUUAACGGCUUCCUUCUUGAGUGAAGAUCAAAGAGUGAAGUUGCAACAUGUAGUUAGUAAUUUUGUGUUUAUAUUGUGACAUUCACAAAAACAGUCUUGGGUAUUUUAAUAGUGAUUUAAUGAACAAACAAGGUCCAAUACUGGUACAUUUACAACACCAGUACUCCCCAGAUAUAAAAAAUAAACACUCUAAACACUA